GUGUCAGCAGCCGCGGUAAUACGUAGGGGGCAAGCGUUGUCCGGAAUCAUUGGGCGUAAAGCGCGUGUAGGCGGCUUGGUAAGUCUGGCGUGAAAUCUUGGGGCUCAACCCCAAGCCUGCGCUGGAUACUGCCUCGCUAGAGUCCGGGAGAGGAAAGCGGAAUUCCCAGUGUAGCGGUGAAAUGCGCAGAUAUUGGGAAGAACACCGGUGGCGAAGGCGGCUUUCUGGAACGGUACUGACGCUGAGACGCGAAAGCGUGGGGAGCAAACAGGAUUAGAUACCCUGGUAGUCCACGCCGUAAACGAUGGGCACUAGUUGUGGGCGGUGUCGACUCCGUCCGUGACGAAGCUAACGCAUUAAGUGCCCCGCCUGGGGAGUACGGCCGCAAGGCUAAA
rnacentral:rRNA from 1 species